AUUGAACGCUGGCGGCAGGCUUAACACAUGCAAGUCGAGCGAGCGGCGGACGGGUGAGUAAUAUCUCGGACACUGCCUGGUGGAGGGGGAUAACUACUGGACACGGUAGCUAAUACCGCAUACCAUACGCUCUGCCGCGAUGGGAUUAGCUAGUGGGUGGGGUAAUGGCUCACCAAGGCGACGAUCCCUAGCUGGUUUGAGAGGAUGACCAGCCAAACUGGAACUGAGACACGGUCCAGACUCCUACGGGAGGCAGCAGUGGGGAAUAUUGGACAAUGGGCGCAAGCCUGAUACAGCCAUGCCGCGUGUAUGAAGAAGGCCUUCGGGUUGUAAAGUACUUUAAGUGGGGAGGCGUUACCCGCAGAAUAAGCACCGGCUAACUCCGUGCCAGCAGCCGCGGUAAUAC
rnacentral:rRNA from 1 species